rnacentral:rRNA from 1 species
UACGAAGGGGGCUAGCGUUGCUCGGAAUCACUGGGCGUAAAGGGUGCGUAGGCGGUCGGGUAAGUCUGAUGUGAAAUCUCCGGGCUCAACCCGGAAAUGGCAUUGGAUACUAUUCGGCUCGAGGUCUGGAGGGGGGACUGGAAUACUUGGUGUAGCAGUGAAAUGCGUAGAUAUCAAGUGGAACACCAGUGGCGAAGGCGAGUCCCUGGACAGAUCCUGACGCUGAGGCACGAAGGCUAGGGGAGCAAACAGG